AAAACAAGAAAGAGAGAAAAAAUGAGGCAACUUUGAUGAGGCGCGCUCCCGACAGCUUCAUCCCAAACGCGCGUCCCCUGUGGUGGGAAAGUGAGCCGAAAGACAGCAGAACUGCAGAGUGGCACGGCGCGCCUGUCCGCGAGGGUCUCCGAGGGUCUCCGCGUGGUCAUGAGCGCAGAGCAGGGGGCCUAACGAUCCGGCGCAUCGCUGCGGGAGCUGCCCGUCGUUCCACCGGGAAGAAUGAAGUAAGCAUCCAUAAAGAGUGACCUGCUCCCACAGAGAGAAAACGAGGUAGGACAAAUAUAUCGCAUGACUGAUCGCAUUCCUCACCGUCCUCACCAUUCAUAUCCAU
rnacentral:lncRNA from 1 species